rnacentral:rRNA from 1 species
CCUACGGGGGGCUGCAGUGGGGAAUAUUGCACAAUGGGCGCAAGCCUGAUGCAGCCAUGCCGCGUGUGUGAAGAAGGCCUUCGGGUUGUAAAGCACUUUCAGCGGGGAGGAAGGCGUUAAGGUUAAUAACCUUGUCGAUUGACGUUACCCGCAGAAGAAGCACCGGCUAACUCCGUGCCAGCAGCCGCGGUAAUACGGAGGGUGCAAGCGUUAAUCGGAAUUACUGGGCGUAAAGCGCACGCAGGCGGUCUGUCAAGUCGGAUGUGAAGUCCCCGGGCUCAACCUGGGAACUGCAUUCGAAACUGGCAGGCUAGAGUCUUGUAGAGGGGGGUAGAAUUCCAGGUGUAGCGGUGAAAUGCGUAGAGAUCUGGAGGAAUACCGGUGGCGAAGGCGGCCCCCUGGACAAAGACUGACGCUCAGGUGCGAAAGCGUGGGGAGCAAACAGGAUUAGAUACCCCAGUAGUC